CCUACGGGCGACAGCAGUGAGGAAUAUUGGUCAAUGGGCGCGAGCCUGAACCAGCCAAGUAGCGUGAAGGAUGACUGCCCUACGGGUUGUAAACUUCUUUUAUAAAGGAAUAAAGUGAGGCACGUGUGCCUUUUUGUAUGUACUUUAUGAAUAAGGAUCGGCUAACUCCGUGCCAGCAGCCGCGGUAAUACGGAGGGUCCGAGCGUUAUCCGGAUUUAUUGGGUUUAAAGGGAGCGUAGGUGGGUUGUUAAGUCAGCUGUGAAAGUUUGCGGCUCAACCUUACCAGUGCAAUUGAUACUGGCAGUCUUGAGUACGUGUGAGGUAGGCGGAAUUCGUGGUGUAGCGGUGAAAUGCGUAGAUAUCACGAAGAACACCGAUUGCGAAGGCAGCAUACGAAAAUGCCACUGACAUUGAUGCUCGAAAGUGUGGGUAUCAAACAGGAUUAGAUACCCGUGUAGUC
rnacentral:rRNA from 1 species